rnacentral:tRNA from 1 species
UGGCUUAGUGGUUAAGAGCACUGGUUGCUCUUCCAGAGGUCCUGAGUUCAAAUCUCAG